UUUGACCAAUAAGACCGCUUCCUUCAUUCUCAGCCAUCAAAUAUAGAGAUAUCACUUAAUACCUCUCAUAAUACAUUUCAUGUUUAAUGACGCAUGUUCGGUGGCGUAACUUUGGAAGAUCCCAAACGUGAUUUUGGAUGGAUUUAAUACUUAAUCUCUGCAGAGGAUUGCACACCAUCCUGCAUCCACAGCCAAAGCCGGUGACGAAACAGUAUGAUGAUGUGGGUCAUGAUGCUCAGAGCGCACUUCACUGGACAUCUGUGGGAGAUGCUGGGCAGGAACUUGGCAUGGGUUGACUGUCUUUCUUCGGCUGUGUUUGUGCAUGCAUGGACUGGACGCCUGAGUGAAAAACCUAAACACUGAAAAAUCUCUGGGAAGGGAACAGCUCAUACUCCACCACAGAAACCCCUGCACCAGUUAACACGUGCAUGACUCCAAGUGACGAAACGUUUCUCCCACUGAAAACGCUACGUCCAGAUGAA